rnacentral:tRNA from 1 species
GCGGGUAUCGUAUAAUGGUAUUACCCCAGCUUCCCAAGCUGGUGACACGGGUUCGAUCCGUUACCCGCU